GUUCGAGGAGUUACCUCCCUUCUUUGCAAUUUGACAAGGCAAUACAUUCGUUUUCCGUCAGUUCCUGAAAUUGCCGAGAAACGUACAAAAUUUUACGGUUUAGCAGGCUUUCCGAAUGUGGUUUGCUGUGUCGACGGUACUUUGAUCCGUAUUAGAUGUCCAUUGCAAAAUGAGGCUGAGUUUGUUUGCAGGAAAGGAUACUACGCUUUAAAUGUUCAGAUGGCUUGUGAUGCAUCUUUCCGUUUCGUAAAUUGUGUUGCAAAAUGGCCUGGGAGCGUUCAUGACUCGCGUGUUUUUAAAGAGUCGUCUCUUGCAAGAUUGUUUGAGACUGGUAAGAAGUAAUGUGAUAAGAAUAAUUUAACUAUUAAUAAUGAGUUUGACAUUGACA